UAGUGCUUGCUAAGGAAGACUUCACAGAGGAGUCACACCUUAAAAAAAAAAAAGGAGGGGUUAUUCCUGCUUUUGCCGUGCUGUGAUCCAGGGCAGAGCUCCAGGCUUCAUACGGUAAAACUCUCUGGGAAGGAAAGGAACUCAGAGUCCCAUGCAGAAAAUUGUUCAGCUGGAGGGGUAUCAGAAAGAUGGAUUUCCAAAGCCAACUGUUUCCUGUAGUGUGUGGAUCUCUGCAAGCAGAGCCUCAUCUUUCAAUUUCAGCUACAUGAAAGAGGAAGAAAGGGAAAGAUAUAUGUCAUACGUGAUAUACUGUAUGUGGCUUUGAAGACCCCUCUUUUGUGGGGCUACGGCUAAAGAACGUAGUUCCCUGGGAUGGAAUUGGCUCUUCCUAUUUCCCUACUUCAUGAAAACUCCAGUAGAAGACCUUAGAACCUUGUCCUGGUUACAUGGAUAUGUUUACUUUGUGAAAAUUCAUCAAGCACUAUGCACGGUCAUGAUUUGUACAUUUUUUUGUAAGAUAACUUCAUUAAAAUUUACUUUUUUUAUUUUU
rnacentral:antisense_RNA from 1 species